rnacentral:rRNA from 1 species
UCGACGGUAACAGGUUUUUUUCGGAAAAUGCUGACGAGUGGCGAACGGGUGAGUAAUGCACGGGAAUCUACCUAAAAGAGGGGAAUAGUUAUAGGAAACUAUAGGUAAUACCCCAUACGUCCUACGGGAGAAAGCAGGGGAUCUUGUGAAAGACCUUGCGCUUUUAGAUGAGCUCGUGUCGGAUUAGCUAGUUGGUAAGGUAAAGGCUUACCAAGGUUACGAUCCGUAGUUGAUCUGAGAGGAUGAUCAGCCACACUGGGAUUGAGAUACGGCCCAGACUCCUACGGGAGGCAGCAGUGGGGAAUAUUGGACAAUGGGCGGAAGCCUGAUCCAGCAAUGUCGCGUGUGCGAAGAAGGCCUUAGGGUUGUAAAGCACUUUCAGUAAUGAAGAAGUAAUGUUUGCUAAUACCAAAUGUUAUUGACGUUAGUUACAGAAGAAGUACUGGCUAACUCUGUGCCAGCAGCCGCGGUAAUACAGGGAGUGCAAGCGUUAAUCGGAAUUAUUGGGCGUAAAGGGUGUGUAGGUUGUUGAAAUAGUUAGAUGUGAAAUCCCUAAGCUUAACUUAGGAAUUGCAUUUAAUACUUUUUAACUAGAGUCUUGUAGGGGAAAGUAGAAUUUCCGGUGUAGCGGUGAAAUGCGUAGAUAUCGGAAGGAAUACCAGAGGCGAAGGCGACUUUCUGGACAAGUACUGACACUGA